rnacentral:rRNA from 1 species
GUGGGGAAUUUUGGACAAUGGGCGCAAGCCUGAUCCAGCAAUGCCGCGUGCAGGAAGAAGGCCUUCGGGUUGUAAACUGCUUUUGUACGGAACGAAACGGUCCGGGUUAAUACCCUGGGCUAAUGACGGUACCGUAAGAAUAAGCACCGGCUAACUACGUGCCAGCAGCCGCGGUAAUACGUAGGGUGCAAGCGUUAAUCGGAAUUACUGGGCGUAAAGCGUGCGCAGGCGGUUUUGUAAGACAGGCGUGAAAUCCCCGGGCUCAACCUGGGAAUUGCGCUUGUGACUGCAAGGCUGGAGUGCGGCAGAGGGGGAUGGAAUUCCGCGUGUAGCAGUGAAAUGCGUAGAUAUGCGGAGGAACACCGAUGGCGAAGGCAGUCCCCUGGGCCUGUACUGACGCUCAUGCACGAAAGCGUGGGGAGCAAACAGGAUUAGAUACCCCGGUAGUCC